UUCCGGUUGAUCCUGCCGGACCUGACUGCUAUCGGAUUGAUACUAAGCCAUGCGAGUCAUUGUAGCAAUACAAGGCAGACGGCUCAGUAACGCGUAGUCAACCUAACCUAUGGACGGGAAUAACCUCGGGAAACUGAGAAUAAUGCCCGAUAGAACACUAUAUCUGGAAUGGUUUGUGUUCCAAAUGAUUUAUCGCCGUAGGAUGGGACUGCGGCCUAUCAGUUUGUUGGUGAGGUAAUGGCCCACCAAGACUAUUACAGGUACGGGCUCUGAGGGGAGUAGCCCGGAGAUGGGUACUGAGACACGGACCCAGGCCCUAUGGGGCGCAGCAGGCGAGAAAACUUUGCAAUGUGCGAAAGCACGACAAGGUUAAUCCGAGUGGUUUCUGCUAAAGGAACCUUUUGUUGGUCCUAGAAACACCGAUGAAUAAGGGGUGGGCAAGUUCUGGUGUCAGCCGCCGCGGUAAUACCAGC
rnacentral:rRNA from 1 species